UGGGCAUCGAUAUGGGCGCAGCUGAUCAGCAUGCCGCGUGAGUGAUGAAGGCCUUAGGGUUGUAAAGCUCUUUUACCCGAGAUGAUAAUGACAGUAUCGGGAGAAUAAGCUCCGGCUAACUCCGUGCCAGCAGCCGCGGUAAU
rnacentral:rRNA from 1 species